GGUCUUCCUAGAUACGCCUUUCUCGCGGUUUUCACCGGAAUAUACGCCGGAUCUCCCACAAUAUGGCAGUUAUGGAGCACUAUUCCCGUCGGCUCGCGGACGUCGCUGCGUCCCUGAGCGGUGACCAUACACGACUGGCCUGCCAUAGGUUUGCGCACGACGAUUUUGCAGUUUUGGAGGAUGCAUUGCGAGUCGCCGAAGAUGAAGUCCACGGUGCCGGAGACCGUGCAGUCACGGUAGAAUUGCCGUUGAGAGUGAACGUAUAAGGUGUCUUGGUAACCGUCGAUUUGACAGUCGAAGAACACGGCGUAGUCCCCCGAGACUCUUAAGGCUACCGCUUGUCCUCCUUCUGGUCCAGCCGUGUUCUCCAUCCCAAUGCCCUUUGCUGUGAAGUGCUCUCCCUCUACAGCUGCACAUAUAAGAAAGGUCGGUCAUGUUUAGACGCGGAGUUGAGUUAAUGGAUAAAACUCUUAGAUUAUCUAGUAGAUGUCUAAACAGUCAUAAGUUUGAAUAGGCCUGUGGGUUCGGUUCGAAGGGUAGUUCGGUUCAACAUAAAUCUUACCGAGUUAACCUGAAAUAAAGUUUGGUUCCAUAUAAUAUUUGGCUAGUUCAGGUUUUGAAAAUCCUACGGAAGUUUUUGAUUUCGGCUAAACUUUUGUUUAAUUUUGUUAAAAAAAAUCGAAUUUAUUCGGUUAGUUUGGUUCUAAAUCUGGUUACUUCGGUUAGUUUAGUUUGUAUGGUUUGGUAUAUAUAUAUUAAAGAAUACCAAAGUAACCGAUGGCAAGUUGAACCGAAACCUGAUUUUUUACGAAAACCUACCGAAUUGAACUAACCGAAUUUCGAUUCGGUUCAGUUAGGCUGGUUCAGUUCAAAAUCUUAGGCUAAGUUGGAGAGUCCGGUUGGAAAAUGUCUGCUCAUAUAUGAUGAUGUAGGGAACUUCGGACAAACAAAAUUCGAAACUCACUUAGGGGAGCUGUUAGGUACGUCUUGACUUUCCCGAUACCGAAGUUAAGGCUGCCGGAGAUUACAGUCUUGGUUGGUCCAUCACCUAUAAAAGUUAUCAUUCUUAAAACAAUUUCAGAGAAACACAUUAAAAACAAAAAGAUGUAAAACCCUGAAGUUAAACGAUUCACAAAACGGAAUCUCCUACAUGCCCGCCGUGUACGGGACUUGCGUCUGUGGAAUCCACGUGUUACCACUCAAGAAUCUAUCACCAGUGUAUGACAAAGCCUGUUCAUGCGUCAGUUUCUUGACACCAGGCCAUAUAACUCUUUGGGCCUGAUUCGCUCCAGGCCCAACAUUCAAAUGCUCGGCAUAGUACAACGUCUUGAGCGCGAAGUCACCGUUCCACGGAAGCCAUCCCGCCCGAUCAAUUACGUCAUCGAUCGUUGUCUUCAUGACGAUCGUCCUCGAGAACUCCUUCCACGGUCUUCCUAGAUACGCCUUUCUCGCGGUUUUCACCGGAAUAUACGCCGGAUCUCCCACAAUAUGGCAGUUAUGGAGCACUAUUCCCGUCGGCUCGCGGACGUCGCUGCGUCCCUGAGCGGUGACCAUACACGACUGGCCUGCCAUAGGUUUGCGCACGACGAUUUUGCAGUUUUGGAGGAUGCAUUGCGAGUCGCCGAAGAUGAAGUCCACGGUGCCGGAGACCGUGCAGUCACGGUAGAAUUGCCGUUGAGAGUGAACGUAUAAGGUGUCUUGGUAACCGUCGAUUUGACAGUCGAAGAACACGGCGUAGUCCCCCGAGACUCUUAAGGCUACCGCUUGUCCUCCUUCUGGUCCAGCCGUGUUCUCCAUCCCAAUGCCCUUUGCUGUGAAGUGCUCUCCCUCUACAGCUGCACAUAUAAGAAAGGUCGGUCAUGUUUAGACGCGGAGUUGAGUUAAUGGAUAAAACUCUUAGAUUAUCUAGUAGAUGUCUAAACAGUCAUAAGUUUGAAUAGGCCUGUG
rnacentral:lncRNA from 1 species